rnacentral:rRNA from 1 species
AUGCCGCUCCUGCUCCUCCUGCUCGUGCUCCUUCUACCGGCCGCGCCCGAGGCGACGCCGUCGGCGUUGCUGGGCAUCAACUACGGCCGGGUGGGAAACAACCUCCCGCCGACGACCUCGGCCCUGCAGCUCCUCGCCGGCCUGGGCGUCGGCCGCGUCCGCCUCUACGACGCCGACCCGGCCACCCUCCGCUCCUUCGCCAACACGGGCGUGGAGCUCGUCGGCGGCGUCCCCGACGAGUGCCUCGCCGCCGUCUCCACCCCCUCCGGCGCCUCCUCCUGGGUCCGCUCCGUCAUCCAGCCGGCGCUCCCGGCAACCAAGAUUGCCGUCCUCACUGUCGGCAACGAGGUGCUCACGGGCGCCAACAGCUCCACGCUCUCGCCGUCGCUGCUCCCGGCCAUGCAGUGCAUCCACGACGCACUCGCGCAGCUCGGCCUCGACAGGCAGGUCACGGUCACCGCCGCGCACAACCUCGGCGUGCUCGCCACCUCCUACCCGCCCUCGUCGGCCUACUUCCACAAGGACCUCCUCCCGGUCCUCUGCCCGAUCCUCGACUUCCACGCCCGCACCGGCUCGCCGUUCCUCGACAACGCCUACCCCUACUUCGCUUACGCCGAGGACCCCGCCGGCGUGGAGCUUGAGUACGCCCUGCUCGAGCCCGGCCACGGCGGCGUCCCGGACCCGUCCUCCGGGCUGCGCUACCCCAACAUGCUGGUGUCCCAGGUGGACGCCGUGUACCACGCGAUCGCAGCGGCCAACCGCGGGGUGGCGCGCGCGGUGAAGGUGCGCGUGUCGGAGACCGGGUGGCCAUCGGCCGGCGACGGCAACGAGACCGGCGCGACGCCACGGAACGCCGCAAGGUACAACGGCAACGUUAUGCGGCUGGUGGGCGAGGGCAAGGGCACGCCGCUGCGGCCGGACGGAGCGUUGCGCGUCUACAUGUUCGCCCUCUUCAACGAGAACAUGAAGCCCGGCCCCUCGUCGGAACGCAACUACGGCCUUUUCAAGCCCGACGGCACGCCGGUGUACGAGCUCUCCUACCGCGGUACCGCCUGCCCAAGGACAACGCCACCACCACGUCUGGCGCCGGCGGCACCGGAAGCAUUACCGGCGGCGUUAGCAGGCCGCAGAACAACGGCUACUACAGCAUCUCGGCAUCAUCCGCAAAGGCAAACGUGCAGUAGUAUAAGCUUUGUCCGUGCUUUGCAUUGA